rnacentral:rRNA from 1 species
CAGUCGCCGCGGUAAUACGUAGGUGGCAAGCGUUGUCCGGAAUUAUUGGGCGUAAAGGGCUCGCAGGCGGUUUCUUAAGUCUGAUGUGAAGGCCCCCGGCUCAACCGGGGAGGGUCAUUGGAAACUGGGAAACUUGAGUGCAGAAGAGGAGAGUGGAAUUCCACGUGUAGCGGUGAAAUGCGUAGAGAUGUGGAGGAACACCAGUGGCGAAGGCGACUCUCUGGUCUGUAACUGACGCUGAGGAGCGAAAGCGUGGGGAGCGAACAGGAUUAGAUACCCCAGUAGUCCCUGUCUCUUAUAC